UACGUAGGCAGCAAGCGUUGUUCGGAAUUACUGGGCGUAAAGAGUGUGUAGGCGGUGCUCCAAGUCUGGUGUGAAAUCUCCCGGCUUAACUGGGAGGGUGCAUUAGAAACUGGAAUGCUAGAGGAUGGGAGAGGUAAGCGGAAUUCCUGGUGUAGCGGUGAAAUGCGUAGAUAUCAGGAGGAACACCUAUGGUGUAGACAGCUUACUGGACCAUUUCUGACGCUGAGACACGAAAGCGUGGGUAGCAAACAGG
rnacentral:rRNA from 1 species